rnacentral:rRNA from 1 species
AACGAACGCUGGCGGCAUGCCUAACACAUGCAAGUCGAACGAGACCUUCGGGUCUAGUUGCGCACGGGUGCGUAACGUGUGGGAACCUGCCCUUAGGUUCGGAAUAACUCCCCGAAAGGGGUGCUAAUACCGGAUAAUGUCUUCGGACCAAAGAUUUAUCGCCUUUGGAUGGGCCCGCGUUGGAUUAGCUAGUUGGUAGGGUAAAAGCCUACCAAGGCGACGAUCCAUAGCUGGUCUGAGAGGAUGAUCAGCCACACUGGGACUGAGACACGGCCCAGACUCCUACGGGAGGCAGCAGUGGGGAAUAUUGGACAAGGGGCGAAAGCCUGAUACAGCAAUGCCGGGUGAGUGAUGAAGGCCUUAGGGUUGUAAAGCUCUUUUACACGGGAUGAUAAUGACAGUACCGGGAGAAUAAGCGCCGGCUAACUCCGUG